rnacentral:ribozyme from 1 species
GUUGCUCAAGUGUGCUACCUUCCGUGGUGAGCAGCAGGCAACGAGAACCUAUCUCGGCUAAAGCAUAU